CAAAAAAUAGUUUAGAUAGAAUGUUAAUUUUGGAGAUUAGAGGCAUAUUUAAUAAUAUUUUUUUGA
rnacentral:tRNA from 1 species